GCUGCCGCCAUGACAAGCAGCAUGUGAAGUCGCCUGUAAGCCACCAGUCACUUGGCAAGGUAUGAAGUGGAACUUACAGAAUAUUCUCAGGGGAUGUGAAUGCUACUGGACUCAAGAACACUUCCUUAGACCUGCUGGUGUUGAAGCAUAUGCAAGUUUGUCCCAGGUCCUAAUGGUGUAAAGGAGAGAGAAAGAAAGAAUCAGAAGAACUGGUGUAUUUUGACAGCCAUAUGCCUCUCCUAUUUGGAUGUAUCUGAAAUGAAAUUUCGAAUACGGUUUCUGCUCAGUAGCCGGGUGAACACAAACGUGAGGAUGGACAGAUGAAGAAUAACCAAAAGCUAAUACUUCCCAACAUCAUCUCUAUGUGCAUAUGUGGUUCUUGCUUGAAUUCCUGCCCUGACUUCCCACAAGAUCAACUGAACAAACCAUUCUCUUCCUCAAGUUGCCUUUGGUCAUGGUUGGUGUUUAUCACAGCAACGGAAGUCUAACUAGAACAUCUGGGGUUCCAGACUGAAUAAAAAGAGACAAUAAAGAAGGCAGUGCAUCCAUCUCUCUGUGCCUCCUGACUGUGGAAGCAUUGGGACCAGUCAUUUCAGGCUCUAGCUGCCAUGCCAUCGCCCAUCAUGACAGAUGGCGUCCUUGAACUGUGAACUAGAAUCAUCCUGUUCUGGUUGAUUGGCCUGUAGGCAAGUGUGAACAUCAUAGAUGUUCUGUUGCAGUAAUGUGCAAAGUAACUUGUGCACACGUUCGUCUUAAUUUCUGAGAAAAUCUAGCACCACGGAGAAACUUCACAAUAUUUCUGAAUAUAUGGCUGAUUCCAGUGUUGUCC